CCAGGGCCCCUGAACUCAGUGCCUGGAGCCCCACGUCCUGGACCCCCAAGCCCAGGGCCCCUGAGCUCACUGCCUGGAGCCCCACGUCCUGGACCCCCAAGCCCAGGGCCCCUGAGCUCACUGCCUGGAGCCCCCAGCCCAGGGCCCCUGAACUCAGUGCCUGGAGCCCCACGUCCUGGACCCCCCAAGCCCAGGGCCCCUGAGCUCACUGCCUGGAGCCCCACGUCCUGGACCCCCAAGCCCAGGGCCCCUGAACUCAGUGCCUGGAGCCCCACGUCCUGGACCCCCCAAGCCCAGGGCCCCUGAACUCAGUGCCUGGAGCCCCACGUCCUGGACCCCCCAGCCCAGGGCCCCUGAACUCAGUGCCUGGAGCCCCGGGUGCCCCUGUGCUCACUGCCGCCUGCCCAGUGUCUUCUCUUCCUGCCCCUCUUCGCUGCUGCCCCUUACCACCCUCCCGCUUUUCCCCCUUUCCUUUGGGUGCAACACACACAUUCCAGUCCCCGGCCUGUGCAGCCCUCAAACCCAACCCAGUUGUAGUGUUACGCCCCCCACAUACAUGCACACAUACACACAUCCCUUGCACAUUCGGGAUGUCCCUGUAAUGGCAGCCCCCCAUUCCCUAGGGAGGAGACCAGCUGUAGGCAUCCUGGGAGCGCUGGGGACACGGAACUCCUCAGGCCCGCUGAUCUCCUGGGAUCUGUGUGUUUGUGAAUUGAUCCCACUGCCUUUUCCAUCGGGGGUACCCCGACCCCAACAGAACAAUUUGGGAGAAACUACAUGAAAACUUGUGAUUUCGUCCUCUGUUGCUCCUAUUAUUCAGCACUGCACCCCAUUGGGAGGAGGCUUUUGUUCUUCAAAGCUAGAAAUAGACAGGGGGACCGCUUUGAAGACAUUUUCUUCAGACUUCGUUGAGAAAUUCCAAGUUGAGAGAAGCAGGGAUGUGAAUAGAGUCCAUGGUUAUGGAGGAUGGACUGAACGGAAACAAAACUGGGAACAUAUAUUUGUAGUCUAACAGCAGCUGUGGUGGGUCAUUUCGCUCUUGCAAAUUUGCCUAUGAGGUUUGUGUGGAAAAAAUAAAAGAAUGUUUUUGUGCUUCCUUGGGGACAGUUAUGCCACUUCCCCUACACUGGCCAGAUUUUGCCCCAUUCUCUUUUCUGUCAUCAGAAGUCUGCACUGGCAAUACAGAAUUUUGUUAUCCACCCGGUAUUUCUUUUCCAGUAAUUCCUCCUCCACUGUGUUUUGCAGUGAUCUUGCUUCAAGCAGUGAACAGACCUUGCCCCCGGAAAUGCAUCCAUGAUGCUGUAUAAGUAGCCAGGAAUUUUGCAGCAGAGCAACACAAGUUGUAAAUUCCCACAAAGUGAUGGAAAGUGCUGCCCACUCAACUCCAGGAGUGAGAGAGUGGACCUGGACACUGAAUAUGACUCCCUUGUGUAGCAGCACAGACUACCAGCAACAUGCUUGUCCUUUUAUCUAGUGCACCAUCAGGACUGAGAAGAAUGUUAAACAUUAGCUACUAUUUUCCUGCUUUCUCUUUUUGACAUUCAAGAUACCAUGGCACUCUUCAGAAGAGCAGGGAAUUUUCCCUAGUCACCUGGUAAAAAUUUCCCCGCUCUCCACUAACGUGCUGUAUGCUGGGUGGCAGUCUUCCAUCUCAGAAGUGGUUGCAUUUCAGUGAUGUCCUACAUUCCUGUAUCCUACCAGCCUUAUUUGCAGGACUAGUCCCAUUGAGAAAAUGAACACUUGAGCGCUCAGAUACUAUACUGAUAAGUAGAACUGAGCAAUUUUUUUUUUUUUUUGGUGAACAGUAGACCAAAAUGUUGCAAAUUUGACAUGAAAUUGCUGAAUAGUUUCAGCCAAAUCUUUGUUUUCAGGACUGAGAUGCCAUUCACAAAAUGGCUGGAGGCUGAGACAAUGGUAGUGCCUGCCUUGUACAUUUUAGCCCAGUGCACUCACUUAAGAUAUGGAAUAGGAGCCAGGUUCAAUUGCUCCCUCUAUCUGAUCUGAAGAAGGGAUUUAAACUUUGAUCUCACAGCAGAAAAGUUCCCUUACCCCGGGGCUACUGGGUAGUCUGGAGUGGGUCUUUCUCAGUCUCUCCCGUUGAAGUGGUUCCACUUUGUAUAAAUAAUUAGUCAUUGGAGGUUGGGACAAAGACAGAGAGAAAAUGACUAUUCAGCCAAGUGGUUAGGGCACUCUUCUGCAAUGUGGGGCACCCAAGUUAAAAUCACUUCUCCAUAUCAGGAUUAGGAGGGAACUGAAUGUCUCUCUCCCACAUCCCAGGAGAGAGCCGUAACCACUAGGUUAAUGCUUCAAAGGGAGAUGGCACCAUCACCCCAACCUUCCUCCUUUUAAGGAUAUCUGGAAACAAAAUGUUUCCUUCAACCCAAAGCAAACUUUUUCAAUUCAUCAAAGUUUUUCGGAGUUUCCAAAUUUGAGCAGACCCACAUUUAUUUUGUUGGUUUUUUGGAACUGCCAGUGACCUGAUAAAUAGUUAUUUGCCCAACUCUACUGAUAAGGGCCACGUAAAUACCUACAUAGAAGUGAACAGAGCUCAGGUUAUAAUUUAUUAAAUGAAUUGGGAUCCUUUAUAAUGAAGGGUUCUACGUGCAUGUAAAGAAUUAUUACUCAUUUUUAUCAUUACUGUAUAUUAAAGCAGAAUAAAAAUGCUUUCUGGAUUUGAUGGAGGUUCCUGGUAUCUUUUCAAGUUCGUAACAUAUGUAAAUUCAAAGAAAACACAGUAGACACAGUGAUCUUGUAUAAUACACUGAUUUAAGCAUCAUUUCCUUCUGUUCUUUUCCUACUGUACACUGUGGAACAUUUGAUUUAUCAGAAAUGAAUUGUGAGAUAAACUGAACUCAAAAUUGGAUAAUACAAUUUUUAUAGCAUAUCUGACUAGAAAGUGGAAAUCUUAUCAGAGAAAGCAGCAUGAUGGGGCAAGAGCAGCUAUUUUGUGUAAAUGUGUUAUUUUACCCAGAACAUUAAGACCAAAAAAAAAAGUCCAUAUUGCAGAUGUCACUUACAAUUCAAUAUUUUUCUUGUUUACCCAAUCUUGUUUUGUCUUUGUUUUACAAUAAAAAAGUGUGAGAGAAUUUGAACAA